rnacentral:rRNA from 1 species
UACGUAGGUGGCGAGCGUUAUCCGGAAUUAUUGGGCGUAAAGAGCGCGCAGGUGGUUGAUUAAGUCUGAUGUGAAAGCCCACGGCUUAACCGUGGAGGGUCAUUGGAAACUGGUCGACUUGAGUGCAGAAGAGGGAAGUGGAAUUCCAUGUGUAGCGGUGAAAUGCGUAGAGAUAUGGAGGAACACCAGUGGCGAAGGCGGCUUCCUGGUCUGUAACUGACACUGAGGCGCGAAAGCGUGGGGAGCAAACAGGAUUAGAUACU